GUCGGGAUAGAUCGAGUAGAGGGGCGACGUUGCCACUGUUGAUUCGAUUUUCUUUAGAUCCACUUCAGCUCCACUCACCCCUGAAAGAGGUAGAUGCAAUCAUCCGCGAUGUUGUCCGCUAAGGAGGCCAGCUUUGGUCCGUUUGUUAAGUGGUUGCUAAAUUGUGAAAAUUUCCUGGAUUGCUACUUGGACGACUCACCGCAUUCACAAGAAGUAAAUGGCAUGGAACGUAGCGGCAACGCUGUUUGGCGCAACGUGAAGCGGGUUGUUGACGGGAGGGGUGACUUCGGUGAAAUAUGGGACACGUGGUUAGACU